rnacentral:rRNA from 1 species
UUCCUACGGGGGGCAGCAGUGAGGAAUAUUGGUCAAUGGGCGGAAGCCUGAACCAGCCAAGUCGCGUGAGGGAAUAAGGCCCUACGGGUCGUAAACCUCUUUUGCCGGGGAGCAAGGGCCGGGACGCGUCCCGGCCCGGAGAGUACCCGGAGAAAAAGCAUCGGCUAACUCCGUGCCAGCAGCCGCGGUAAUACGGAGGAUGCGAGCGUUAUCCGGAUUUACUGGGUGUAAAGGGGGCGCAGACGGCAGCGCAAGCCAGGAGUGAAAGCCCGGGGCCCAACCCCGGGACUGCUCUUGGAACUGCG